CGAGCACGCGCGCGUAUGCGUGCAAACGGAGCAGGAGGUGGGCCGGAGAGGCUCUGCACCUUUUGUUCAGGGCGUGACUCCUGAGUGAAAGACCUAGGAUUUCUACCAUACUGUAGUACUUCUUGAAAAAUGGAUGAUGAUUAUUUUGGAGGAUUUGAGUUACCAGAGAGCUAUGAGUGUGGAAAUGAUGACAAGCAGUCUACAUCUCCUGCUGUUCCAUGGGCAGCAUUUCCUACAGAGUUUGAAGUCCAUAUAGCUCAGAAUGUUUCUCCUGAUGUUCUUCUGGAACACAGUGUGCCUUCAUCCUGCUUGGCUGCUUCUCAGUCAUUCACUUUAUCAAAUGAUAACGUGGCAACAUCUAUUCAAACAGCCAACAAUGUUAUAAACUCAGCUGUUCUUAAGGAACAGAUUCAAGUAGAUAAUCCAAUUACCUCUUUGAAUUUAACUGGAGAUAAGUCUUUAGUCACAUCAGCCAUUGCUAUGGAUGAUGCUCAGACACAGAGAACAAGUGAAUCAAAGGACUGCCUUCAAAAAACUCUAGCAAAUCUAGAAAUCAAUCUUUGUGCUGCUGAAGAAGAAAAAUUAAAAAUUAAAAAGGAAUUAGAAUAUUUACUGGAAAAACAUAGUGUUCUAGAAAUGAAUUUCCUGAAGGAGAAAAAAGAAAAAGCUCUUUCAUAUCAAGAUCAUUACAAUAUACUCCAGCCGUGCUUCUGGGAGCACGUAUGCACUCAGAGCCUGCAUGGUAUGCCCUCCGCCCCCCCUGCUCCUUUCCUGGUGGACCAGAGUUUGAACCGGCUGCAUUCCUCAGCUCACCCUUUUUUCCAAACUGCUGCUAGGAGAGGGAUCUUGACUGACAGUAAGUUGAACAUGAGUCAUCAGUGUGCCCAGGCAUCCAGGAAGACCAACUGUAUCCUGGGGUGCAUCAAGCGUAUCAUUGCUCGCCAGUCAAGGGAAGUAAUUGUCCUGUUCUACGCUGCACUGGUACGGCCUCACCUUGAGUACUGUGUGCAGUUUUGGACACCACAGUACAAAAAGUUCUCUUCCCCAUCUUACCUGGAGAAGUGUGAGCAAAUGGCUGUGCGGUGUUUACCUGCCUGCAAGGAAAAGCAUAAGCAGGAGUUAGAAGAUAUGAGAAAAGCUGGACACGAAGCCUUGAGUAUUAUUGUUGAAGAGUUCAAGGCAUUGCUACAAUGUACAGUUCAACAGCAAGAAGCAGCUACUGAAAAACAGUAUAAAAUAGCAGUUGAAAAACAUUUUUACAAAUGUCAAGAGCUUCUUGAUGCUCAGAUAUAUUAGAAAAUAUGCAAAGGUGCAUGUUGAGUUCACACGUUAGAAGGAAGAGAUGCCAUCUAGAGGGACUACAGCAAACUCAAAAGAGUCUGUCAAUAGGUUGACAGCAAAAAUUUCCGUGAUCACUGGCAGAAGAGGAAAUGCACAUUUGCAAACCACAGCUUCAGACAUUGUCUACUUGAAGGUUAUGCGUAAUAUAAGGAAUUGUUUAGAUUCCUAAUAACAAAAAAAAAAAAAACCAAAAAACUACAUAGAUGAGUGUGCUUUGAUAAUUUCAGAGUGGUGCAUUUAUUUACAUAUAACGAGUUAAUAUCACUAUCAAUAUCAUUUUAAGAGUCACAGCAUUCAAGGAGAUUCCAUGACUUGAUGUUAACUCUUCUGUGGGAUACAGCGCCAUCAAAAAUUAAGUGGAAAAUGGCAAGUUUCAUUUUGCUGUAUCUGUGCUAACUAUGCAAUAUGUGUUUUCUGGACUCAAGACCAGUUUCGGGAAAAAGCAAUUUGCACUACUUCAGUCUGCUUUGUCUAUUUCCAGUUACGUGUUUCUUUUUGUAUAAUCUAUGUAAUUUAAUAGCUGAAGGUACAUUUCAGUCAAAAAAAACCCCAAAAUCUCAUUGUCCAAGUAAAAAUUUUGAGGCCAAGUCAACAAUUCUUCAAGAUGUUUCUCCAGGUCUAGUACAAGAGAAUUUGCAUUUCUGGGUUGCAUGGACAGCUGUUGCAACAUUUGUGAUGGUAUAUGAACUGCUGGAAAUUGAGAUAUGAAGGUAACUGCUUAUGGAAGAAUUAAUCCACAUGAAUAAAAAUUUACAUUGUAAUAGCAAAGGACAGCCAAGCUAUUCACAAAAGGCUUAUAAUCUCAAAUUAUAAUCUUUGCACUUCCACAAGGUAUGGGGAAGAUUUGUAAUAUAGAGGAAGUUGUAAUGAAAUAUGCCGGAAGUCAUUAGCUUAUAGUAUUCUAAAUGUACUCACCAAUAGUUAAUUUUAACAUCUUGAAAAAUCAUGAAUGUAUAUUUAUACAUAGAUACAAUUCUUUAAAAAUUUCUGUGGAUUCUAUAAAAUUCAAAAAUCUAUACCACGUAGAUUUUCUAAUGGACCUCAGAAAUAUGAGAACCUAAACUAAAUUACAGUGAUCAUACUUGAAAUGACAGUUACAGCAGCUUUCGUAUUUUUUAACCUUACUCAAUAGGCAAUUUGUUUUGUGCUCAUUGGUGAGCCAAAGCAGCAUACCGUAUUUCCCCUUCUGCUUCCAGAAGAAGCAAAAUGAUUUAUAUUAUACUGCUGUCUAUGUCUCCUUUUGCUUGGUACCCUGUCUCUCAAUGGAAAUGAUUGAAUAUGACUGAUAAGUCUAGCUGUUAUUGAACUCCUCAUUGCUGUCAUAAUGGCUGGCUGGUGUAACAUUUUCCUGUUUUGUACAGACAUGCAGUUGUUUAUUCUUCUUUGCAUUUGAAGUUUCUAUAUAAUAAAAAUUAGUUGAUCCCAA